UUGUAAAAAAGUGAAUAUUUUGGUAAAUUGGUAGAAUUUGUGUUCAAAUGGACAAGAAAAAUAUUCAGGCUUCCGGAUCUAAACAGUCGGCAAUGGACUCCAUUGAAUUUUCACCCACAAAGCAGCCAAGGCGGAUUUUUAAGAAAACGAAUCAACAAGAUAUGAUAGACGAAAUGAGAGCGGACAUUAAACGUUUGUGUGUCGCCACGGAGCAGCUAAAAAAUGGGAUCUGCACAUUGGCAGCAUUUUUAUCAAUAAAAUCAUAAAAAUUUACAUGACUGUUUUUUUUAAAUAUUUGUAUCCAAAGAUUUAGGUAUGAGUAAAAAAUAAUUCGAUAAUAAAAACAUGAUUGACUUCAUUUAUGCACAUUCACGAAAUUUUUCACCAGGUCAAUUUGCAUUAGUGAAUGAGUUACAUUGGCUUCCCUAAGGAAACCACUGGUCAAUAUUCAUUUAUGAAAAAGGCGUUCAAUUUUGCAAAGUGAAUUCCUUGGUGAACAUUCAUCACAU